UGGGAAUAUUGCACAAUGGGCGAAAGCCUGAUGCAGCAACGCCGCGUGAGUGAUGAAGGCCUUCGGGUUGUAAAGCUCUGUCUUUUGGGACGAUAAUGACGGUACCAAAGGAGGAAGUCCACGGCUAACUACGUGCCAGCAGCCGCGGUAAUACGUAGGUGGCAAGCGUUGUCCGGAUUUUACUGGGCGUAAAGGAUGCGUAGGCGGAUUUUUAAGUGAGAUGUGAAAACCCUAAGCUUAACUUGGGGACUGCAUUUCAUACUGGAAAUCUAGAGUGCGGGAGAGGAGAAUGGAAUUCCUAGUGUAGCGGUGAAAUGCGUAGAGAUUAUGAAGAACACCAGUGGCGAAGGCGAUUCUCUGGACCGUAACUGACGCUGAGGCAUGAAAGCGUGGGUAGCAAACAGGAUUAGAUACCCUGGUAGUCCACGCCGUAAACGAUGAGUACUAGGUGUAGGAGGUAUCGACCCCUUCUGUGCCGCAGUUAACACAAUAAGUACUCCGCCUGGGAAGUACGAUCGCAAGAUUAAAAACUCAAAGGAAUUGACGGGGGUCAUAGCUGUUUUUCCU
rnacentral:rRNA from 1 species